AUCCAGGACCCUACAGACUCUAUGGGGCCAUGUGGGGCCAUCCAGGACCCUACAGACUCUACGGGGCUCUACAAACUCUAUGAGGCAUUACAGGUGCUAUGGGACUCUACAGAUCCUAUGGGGUCCUACAGAGCCCUAUGGGGCACUACAGAUCCUAUGGGGCACUACAGAGCUCUGUGGGGCACUACAGAUCCUAUGGGGCACUACAGAGCCCUAUGGGGCACUACAGAUUCCUAUGGGGCACUACAAAGCCCUAUGGGACCCUACAGAUUCCUAUGGGGCACUACAGAGCCCUAUGGCACCCUACAGAUUCCUAUGGGGCACUACAGAGCCCUACAGGACCCUACAGAUUCCUAUGGGGCCCUACAGAUCCUAUGGGGCACUACAGAGCUCUGCAGGUCACUACAGAUUCUAUGGGGCCUUACAGAGCCCUACGGCACCCUACAGAUUCCUAUGGGGCACUACAGAGCCCUAUGGGGCCCUACAGAUCCUAUGGGGCACUACAGAGCUCUGUGGGGCACUACAGAUUCUAUGGGGCACUACAGAGCCCUAUGGGGCACUACAGAUCCUAUGGGACCCUACAGAUUCCUAUGGGGCGCUACAAAGCCCUAUGGGGCCCUAAAUGACCCUACAGAUUCCUAUGGGGCCUUACAGAGCCCUAUGGCACCCUACCGAUUCCUAUGGGCACUACAGAUCCUAUGGGGCACUACAGAUCCUAUGGGGCGCUACAGAGCCCUAUGGGGCCGCUAUGGUGUCUCUGUAGGGUAGCUAUGGGGUCUCCGUGGGGCAGCUAUGGGGCUACUAUGGAGCCACUAGGGGGUCUCUAUGGGGUCUCUGUGGGGCAGCUAUGGAGCCACUAGGGGGUCACUGUGGGGUCUCUGUGGGGCCGCUAUGGGGUCUCUGUGGGGCAGCUAUGGGGCCGCUAUGGGGCAGCUAUGGGGCUCACCCGAGGCGUUGGGGUGCAGGCGCUCGUCGUUCAGUGGGGCCAGGAAGUCGCUGCUGUUGAGGUACAGGUCCCGGUGGUGGGGGUCUGUGGGGGGGGGGGACCCCAAAUCAGCCCCACGGCGACGCCCCGCACCCCCACCAUGGGGUUUGGGGGUCCCAGGGGAGGGUUUGGGGGUCCCCCCCCCGGAUAUUUUGGG
rnacentral:lncRNA from 1 species